CAGCAGCAGCCGCGGGAAAACGGAGGGUGCAAGCGUUAAUCGGAAUUACUGGGCGUAAAGCGCACGCAGGCGGUUUGUUAAGUCAGAUGUGAAAUCCCCGGGCUCAACCUAGGAACUGCAUUUGAAACUGGCAAGCUAGAGUCUCGUAGAGGGGGGUAGAAUUCCAGGUGUAGCGGUGAAAUGCGUAGAGAUCUGGAGGAAUACCGGUGGCGAAGGCGGCCCCCUGGACGAAGACUGACGCUCAGGUGCGAAAGCGUGGGGAGCAAACAGGAUUAGAGACCCGUGUAGUCCCUGUCUCUUAUAC
rnacentral:rRNA from 1 species